UGAGGCCACAAGACAAGGCAGCAGCGCUCCCAGGGGUUUUCUCAUUAUGCCCGGAUUAAUGGAGGGAAAUGGACAUGCAGCUAAAAACAAAGACAAUGCUUGACGGCACUAUGUCAGACAGCACCAGCUAUAGCUGUCAGAAGAAGCUAGACAGGGAUUCUCAGUAUGGACAUCAUGGCAGAAGCGAAGAGCCCAUACUUGUAAAAAUACAAACCUCAUACACACGCUCCCUCAAGAUGCAGCUGUCGAGUCUCCUCCGGUGAAAUUCCUCUCAUGGGAGCCAUGAGGUCGAAGCAGUUGUACUCUUUGAGGAUCUGAAAGGGAAAAGACAAAAAGCUUGAGGCCGGAACUUACAUGAUGUCUCAAAUCUGACACAGCUCUUUUGAAGAAGAUGUGGGAAGCAACGGAGCUCUCAUAAAUCGUUUCUUACCUUCUCCACUUCUUCACUGCUGCCCUCUACGGCUUCGUACGAGUCGAUACGGGCAGAGAUGGUGGCCAGCUUCUGUUGUUCCUGACGCUGUCGCAUCUGGGACUCCACGCUGUUGAUGAAGCCCUCUACUGCAGCCACCUUGAGGAGGAAAAACACAGAAAUAAACUCAUGUUCAGGCACGUUUAAAGUGUCAAUUACAGAACCAGCAUGUCAUACAUUUUUCCUCAUGCUUACCCUGUGGUGGAGGAAGUAUUCAGUAAUAAUACCACACUGGACUAAUACUACAUCCUGAAUUCGGUAAAAGUACUCGAUGCAGAAAAAAUGUCCUCUGUGACUGUAUUACUAUUAAAUCAUUAGGUUACUAUUAAUUAACUCAUGUAAAAGCAGGGGGUGAAGGUGGAAACACUGGAAAAACUGAAAAUGUCUCUUCUUUGUUAACAUACUGCUGCAUUUUCUUCAAUAAAGUGAUGUUUUGUUUUU